rnacentral:rRNA from 1 species
AACGAACGCUGGCGGCAUGCUUAACACAUGCAAGUCGAACGAGAACUUCCGGUCUAGUGGCGACCGGGUGCGUACCGCGUGGGAACCUGCCCUUAGGUACCCAAUAAUUCCCCGUAAGGGGUCCUAAUACCGGCUAAUGUCUUCGGACCUAAGAUUUAUAGCCUUUGGGUGGGGGCGCGUGGGAUUAGCUGGUUGGUUGGGUAAACGCCUACCAAGGCGGGGAUCCAUAGCUGGUCUGAGAGAAAGAGCUGCCACUCUGGGACUAAGACACGGCCCAGACUCCUACGGGAGGGAGGAGUGGGGAAUAUUGGACAACGGGCGAAGGCCUGAUCCAGCAAUGCCGCGUAAGUGAUGAAGGCCUUAGGGAUAUGAUGCUCUUUUACCCGGGGUGAUAAUGACAGUACCGGGAGAAUAAGCACCGGCUAACUCCGUG